CAGCUUGUUGGUGGGGUAAUGGCCUACCAAGGCGACGACGGGUAGCCGGCCUGAGAGGGCGACCGGCCACACUGGGACUGAGACACGGCCCAGACUCCUACGGGAGGCAGCAGUGGGGAAUAUUGCGCAAUGGGCGAAAGCCUGACGCAGCGACGCCGCGUGAGGGAUGACGGCCUUCGGGUUGUAAACCUCUUUCAGCAGGGAAGAAGCGAAAGUGACGGUACCUGCAGAAGAAGCACCGGCUAACUACGUGCCAGCAGCCGCGGUAAUACGUAGGGUGCAAGCGUUGUCCGGAAUUAUUGGGCGUAAAGAGCUCGUAGGCGGUCUGUCGCGUCGGAUGUGAAAAUCCAGGGCUCAACCCUGGACCUGCAUUCGAUACGGGCAGACUAGAGUUCGGUAGGGGAGACUGGAAU
rnacentral:rRNA from 1 species